ensembl:lncRNA
GAAGCCUUCAGGUGGAGGUAAAACUCAGACUCUCUCGAAUUGAGGGUGGAAAAAUUGUGGGCUAUAUCAGCGCUACCAAUCAAGGAGAAAAAGAAAAGGAAAAAAAAAAAAAAGACAUUGGGAUUACGUAUUUAACAUGGCUACAAACAGAGCUGCCUAAGGCUGAUAGCAGACGAGAGCCAGGUCACGCAGAGGAUGAAGUAUUUCAUUGACUGCAGGAACAUUUUUACUGCCCUCUGGACAAGAAUUUGGAAUGAAGACCAAAGAUGCUGUUAUUUUCUGCUGCGUUGGACAAGAUUUUGUAUAUGAUUUUGUAAUUACAGAGGAAUACAAAGAAAAUCUGUACACAAUUUGCAAGUGAUCUUCAUCCCAGCAGAAGCAAAUUACUGUGAGGUCUCCGGUAAUAACUAUCUUCUUAUGUUACUAAAACUGUCAUUACGAAUUUGAAAA